UACAGAGGGUGCAAGCGUUAAUCGGAGUUACUGGGCGUAAAGGGCGCGUAGGCGGAUAUUUAAGUUGGAUGUGAAAUCCCUGGGCUUAACCUAGGAAUGGCAUACAAAACUGGGUAUCUGGAGUACUGUAGAGGGUAGUGGAAUUUCCGGUGUAGCGGUGAAAUGCGUAGAGAUCGGAAGGAACACCAGUGGCGAAGGCAGCUCGCUGGAACGUAACUGACGCUGAGACGCGAAAGCGUGGGGAGCAAACAGG
rnacentral:rRNA from 1 species